UACGGAGGGUGCGAGCGUUUGUCCGGAAUCAUUGGGCGUAAAGGGCGCGUAGGUGGCCCGGUCAGUUCGUGGUGAAAGCGCGGGGCUCAACCCUGCGUCGGCCAUGAAUACUGCCGCGGCUGGAGCACUGUAGAGGCAGGCGGAAUUCCGGGUGUAGCGGUGGAAUGCGUAGAGAUCCGGAAGAACACCGGUGGCGAAGGCGGCCUGCUGGGCAGUUGCUGGACACUGGAGGCGCGACAGCGUGGGGGAGCCAAACAGG
rnacentral:rRNA from 1 species